CUGGCAAGACCCGUUGUCCGUAUCUUCCACCUCUCCACUAAAUUCCCUAAUUUCAUGCUAGGUCACCGCAUGAGGAAGUUUCUGGGUGUGAAACCAACCUAGCAUCGCCCCCCUCUCUUGGAGCUCGAUCCCCAUCGUCUGAUCCGAUCCCCUCGCCAUGGCACAGCACGACGGCAAGCCGGGCCGGCCGCACCGUCGCCGUCGCCUUGAGCGGCCGCCAUGGAUCCCCUCGUGUUCUAGGUGCCCAAUGGAGGGCCGAUGAACGGGUCCAAGGAGAAUCUCGAACUGAAGAUGCAGAUAGAAGAUGAGGAGGGGGAAGAAGAGGAGGAUAUGGACCUGGUCUCUGUUGUUUCUUCUUCCUUCAGUCCUGCGCAACUCCCAGUCCCACUGCGAGCCCUGUCCCUGCAACUCUCUCUCUCACCUUGACCCGGAGGUUAGGCCGGGUGAACGUCUGGUUGUUGAUGAUUCUACUGGUUCUGAUGCAGAUCGUAUUUUGCUGUUGUGGGCUCGCCGUUUUAGAUCGACAGAUAUGUGCGGCUCUGAAACUACUUUAUGCAAAUAUCAGUGAAUUGUGCAGCAAAACUAUGAAAAUCGAUGGAGUUAGGGAAUAAAGUUCACUAAGGGCAUAAACAAUCAGGCUUGAGCAGAUCAUUGAGGAAUGGCAAUUCUUCGACGGGAAGUGGGAGUCUAAGCUAACACUCAUUGUUGCCCAAAAACCCAUCAUGCCAAAUUCCUCUAGGCCCGAUCUUCAAAUAAUGUUCCUCUCACUGAACUUUAUUUUUACUUAUGGAGAAGUCGCAUUAGUUUUUUUAUGGAGUGAAUCAUCCCAAUAAUUUUGACUUUCUACAUGUGUCCACAUGAUUGUAAGUACUCUCUGUGAUUUCCUCUGUUUUCUGUUUAUCAAGUAGCAAAGUGGUUGUGGUGGUUUGCAGGUGUCUUUGGUUACCAUUCGUUUACAUGGGGCUAAUUGUUUUCUGUUUGUUGUCACCAUGUUAUGCAUGAAGAGAUCGGCUUCAGUGCCGAUGUGCUUCAGGAAUUUAUGCAUUUGCUUUCUUACAUGUAUUUAGGUGGCAGAUAGUACCACAUAUCAUUCCAGUAUUUUUUUGUCAAACCUAUGUUUUGAACUUUGUUGUUGUGUUCUUUCCAUGUACCAGGGAAGCACAAUGGUGAUUUCAUUCGUGGCACAACCCUUUGUAUUUGUGUUUGGCUAAUAGCACACCUCGCUGCCACCGAGGCGGGCACGUUCAUGAAGUUUGAGGACAUGUCGGGCAUGUCGUUCAGCAAGGGAAUAGGACACACAUCUUCGGGCAGCUUCCCACUGCCGGAGCUGGCAUGUCUGCAUGAGAAACACUGGAGCACCAUGUUCUUCUGCUGAUGAUUAAAGGAGAGCAUUGUAAGCUGCUCUUAUUUUUACAUGGUUGCACAUGAUUUCACAGUUGUUUCGGUGUUGAUAUUUGGGCAACUGGACUUUUUAGGGCAUGUCACAGGACCUGUGUUUCAGAAUUGCGGUGCAUACUUGCUAGAGAUAUAGACAUAGUGAUAACUGAACAUUGGUGUUACCUGGUAUUCAACGAGUUGUGAUACCACCAACAGCCCAAUUUACUCCCAUGUAUGAUGUGUACAAUUGCUCUGUGUAUCCGAACGCAUGAGCUGACCCAAGAUGGCGUUAUAUUAUAAACUGUUCGUUCAUAAUUUUAUCUAUUUGAUGUUUCUGAAUUUUCUCAACCUGGCAAUUCAUUAGCUGCAAGGGUUGCAGCUAUGCUUAGACCGUAGAUCCCUCAAAGCAAAUUCAGCCAAACGUGGAAUGUUAAGAGUUUAUAGCAGUAACGCACAUCCUGAUAUGUUAGUUGGUGAAAAAGUAGUUAGAUUACCAAUGUAGACUCCUACAAGUAUUUACUUUGUUGUUCUAAACAACCUAUAGGCAUGUUCACUCUUAGAUGUAUAUCAUUUUCUUAAUUAUGUCAGUGUUCGCUUUUCCUUUCAGAUAUCUUCUAUGUUUCAGAGCUUCUUGGUUUAUGUUAAAACGAGGAUGGGCAAUGGAUAUUAUAUCGUUCAUUUGAGGCAAUUGGCCAUCAUUUCUGGUUUGGAAAUUUCAGUUUUUCUCCAUUUUUUACAUAGGCUGUACUAAUAAGAUGGCCAGAUUUGGAGUGCAAUUUCUCAUGUAUGUACUACCUUCCGAUCUACUAUGCAGUACUAUGGAAUUUAUAUGUAUCAGCUCUAAAAACAUAUUUUUAUCUAGCAGAUGCUUGGUAGAAGGACCAUUUGAUUUUAUCAUGUCAAUUUCAUGAUGGUUAUUCUCCCACUGUAUCCUGAACGCAUCUUCUCUAUCAAGAUAGGUCUUACAGCAUGACUCAGGACUCAGGAUUCCUCAUUGAAUCUCUACUGAUUCUACCAGAAGCACCAAGGCCUCCAAUCAUUGUUGGAUUUCGAUAUUGUGUUCUCUGAAUUACAUAAAUUUGAAAAAGAGAUAUGGUCCAAGGUAUCUCUGCAUUUAUAUACUACCUAAGCACAGUUAUUGACCAUAGAUGCCUUGAAACAAGCACAGUUGGGUGCAUUUGUAUUUUUUGUUA